UUUUAUUUGCAGGGGAACUUAUUUAGUUGAGAAAGAUUAACAUCUGACCCUUAGAACCUGUUAGCUAAUACUAACGUAGGGAGCCAAAUCACCUACGCU
rnacentral:ncRNA from 2 species